GGCGAGCACCACAAUUAGCAGACCUGUUACAGAGGGUUGGAGAAAUUUGUCUGAAGUCACACAGCCAACAGAUGGUGGAAUCAAGACUCAAACCAGGUCUUCUGACUCUAGUAGCUAUGCUUGAUAAAUAGCUAUAACUUUUAACAAAAGGGACAGUGGGGGACAUGUGAGUAUGGGGGUGUGGGUGUGAUGGGUUGAUGGCCGAAAGCUUUCUGGGACCCUGCUACUCAUGCUAGAUUUUCUGGUCCUGAUUAGCUGCUCCAUGGCUGCCAGGAGCUGUUAUUAUCACUCACUCCUAUGCCCUUGUCACUGGGCCUGUGGGGACCUGCCCUUCCUUCCUGCUCUUGGCCCUGUGAUGUUGACAGCUGUACUGGGAAAUCACAUGCUGGCUGCUGCCACAAUUACCAGACACAGACUGUAAGUGCCUCCCUGGACGUCCUGCCACCCUGUCUCAUGCCGGCCCCUACACAGGUGCUCAGGCCACGGCUUUGCUCCAUCUGUUUUACUUCUGUGUGGUAUGAAAAAGCCCAAAGUUUGUUGAAGAAGGAGAAAUGCGCCGAGAGAAUAAAAACAAUGAUGAUCAGAACAAUAAAAAUCAAUAAGCAACAUUUUCAAUGUGUUUUGCAAUCACCAAACACCAGACUCACUGCCUGGCCUCCAGUGUCUUGGAAGACGAGUUCUGUGACUCACUGUAAACCACACGAUAGGACUCAACUCCCAGACUCUGGCUUCAAACUCUAUCUUCUAAAAAUGCCUUCUAAAGAAAAGAUUUCUGUCUCAUCAGUCAGCUCAUCUGGCAUUUGAAAACCUCAAGCAGAAAUUCCCCAGGUCAGCAUUAUGCAUUCUCCAAGACCAAGCUUCUUCAAACAGAAACCAAAAACAAUGAAAACUAAAUACCAAUGGCUUCUGGCUUCUCUUCAGCGAUAACAAGUCUUCAUUCUUUUUCUCUGUUCCAUGUGAAAAGUUAUACCCCCAAAGGGGAGCUGUGGGCUUUCCAAUGGUGGAGCAGAGAUGGGGGCUUAGGGAACGAAACCUUCAGAAAUAACCUUCUCCUUCCUCCCUCUACCCACAUUGAGAACAUAUUCAUUUCACUGAAUUUAAAGUCAAUGAGACCAUAAAGGACCAGUUCUGUAUUUUGUUUUCUUAUGCUGCUGCUUCUAGAGCAAAACUAAAUAAGUGACACAUCAACCCUUUAAGGAUCUUGUUUCCAACGAGAGAACCGAGGAUACACGUUCUGAGGACAUUGGUUUAUUCAAGAUGAUGUGACAACUUUAGAAAAAAAAAAUCCCCUUAAUAAAAGAGGUUUAUAGGCCA
rnacentral:lncRNA from 1 species